GACAGAGGCCCCGAGCGUUAGGCGGAAUCACUGGGCUUAAAGCGUGUGUAGGCGGGAGCGUAAGUACCUUGUGAAAUCCCACGGCUCAACCGUGGAACGGCUGGGUAUACUGCGCUUCUUGGGCCAACUAGGGGCAGCCGGAACAAGCGGUGGAGCGGUGAAAUGCGCAGAUAUCGGGAAGAACACCCGUGGCGAAGGCGGUUCUCUGGGACGGUACUGACGCUGAGACGCGAAAGCGUGGGGAGCGAACAGG
rnacentral:rRNA from 1 species